GGACCAGUGAAGUGAAUUAUCACCAACCCAGGCAGCCUGUAUCCCUCUGUGUCCCAUUCUGAGAACCCCAGUUAUAACUCGGUUCUCUCCCUGGCCACUUCCUCCUCGUCUUCACUGCUAAAAGCCCAAGUUCUUCCUCUGUGACCUGCAUGCUGGAACUCCAAAUUCACCUAAGAGCCCUUCCAUUGGACACACGUUUCCUGAGCAGCAACUGGAGAUGGGAUCCUGAGGAGCCCUGGGGUUUCAGUUCCUGCCCCAAGGAAUAUCUGCCCUGACAGACAGGCAGGCUUCCCUGUGGAUGAGGACAUGGCUCCCAACAACUCCAGGCUCACAUCUCCAUCACCCAUCGGGAAAGGAUUCAUUCUCAUCAGCUAAAAAAAAAAAUCCCAAGAAAGGACCCUAAAUUGCCUGGCUUGGGUCACAUGAUCACCUCAAUCACAGUAGCCAGGAGGAUGGAGUCCUCUGAUUGGCUUAUCAGUCAUGUAUCUAGGGCGCCAGGAAAGUGCUCUUAGAAGAAAGAGGAUGGGGAUGCUCUGCCAGUUUCUUUCCAGGGAGUCUUGUGGGUGUAGAAGGGGAACAGUUCUCUGUGCUAGAUUCUGGGAAUGGCAUGAAGCCACUUCUUACAGGUGUUACAUCCUCUUAGUGUGCCUUUGGUGCCAGGUUUAUCCUAAAACAUACUCUUUGUAGAAACAGCUCGACUUAAUACAGCUUAAUGCUGCCCAAAUCCACCAUCUUCAGCUGCUGUUUGCAGAGCUUACGCAGCGCUCAUAGCAAGCAAAGCCCCGGCUCGGUGACAGUCUCACUGGAGGGCUCAUCGUGGAUCUUUUCCUGCCCCUGCCUACUGUCUCCAGGCACAACUGAACCCUGGCCUCCUACAUGCCUCCUGGAUACAAGGCUGCAGAUCUCAUGGAGAUUGGGGGUGCUGUGGUUAAAGCAAAAUAUAACAGGAUUGGAAGGGACCUCAGGGUCCACCUGGCCCAUUUCAUAGGUGAGGAGACAAGCCAAUGGAAGGCAAGGGGCCUACCUACCCAAGGACACAGAGUUCCUUUGGGAACAGUGUCUUCUUUACCAACUACCAUCAACCUGUGGGUGUGGUAG